rnacentral:rRNA from 1 species
UACGGGGGGAGCAAACGUUGUUCGGAAUCACUGGGCGUAAAGGGCGUGUAGGCGGCUGAAUAAGUGGGAUGUUAAAUCCCCCGGCUCAACCGGGGACCUGCAUCUCAUACUGUUCAGCUCGAGCACAUCAGAGGAGACUGGAAUUCCCGGUGUAGCGGUGAAAUGCGUAGAUAUCGGAGGAACACCAGUGGCGAAGGCGAGUCUCUGGGAUGAUGCUGACGCUAAGGCGCGAAAGCCAGGGGAGCAAACGGG